rnacentral:misc_RNA from 1 species
GAGUCUCAUGUUGUUGGUGCUAGAGGAAGUGGAGGCGAAGUAAAUGGCGAUGGCUAUCGAUCUCCGGGAUCGUCGAAUUUCAUACCAAUUUAUGCUGCAAAUGCUCAUAACAAUCACCAUCGUGGUGGUGCAAGCAACCACAAGAGCCACAAUGUAUAUCUAGCCUUAUUCACUAUAAUGUUCUUCGUGUACCUUUGUAUUUAAACAGUACCAGUGUUUUAAAAGGCAGGGGCGUG